rnacentral:tRNA from 1 species
GCGGCGGUAGCUCAAUGGUAGAGCCUUAGCCUUCCAAGCUAAUGAUGCGAGUUCGAUUCUCGUCCGCCGCU